AAGCAGCCCUCGGUGACAUGUUCUUUCCCUCAGCACAGGAAUCCCUUUGAUUAAUGACAGAGGACGUCCGGAAGAACAGUUCUCUGGGCUGCGAGGACUCUGGGCGCCUCUGCCUGCGCGGCCCGUGCUUGUGGCGCAGACAGCAGCCGCGUGCAGGAAGCCGGGCGUCCUCCUGGGUACCAGAAGCCAGUUGGAGGAUGCCCUCGCAGUUCCCACUCCAAGGCCACACUGUCCACAGUCCACCUUCCAUGACGUUCAAACCCUCUGUGAAGAGUCUAGACACAAAAUGCCCAGCGACAGGGAGAAAGGGCAGCUCUGGCUCAUUCCGGAAGGCUGUCAUUCUCUGGCUGCUGGGAGACACGGACGACGUGAUGUUCUCAGAAACAUUUCCUGAGACUGACUCCCAGCAGGUUGGGUAAGACCUGUUGUCAUUCUCCAAAGCCCGACUGGUGCCUUCAAAGGCCUCUGCUCUAGAGCUGGGAAGAGGGUGAGCCAUCAUGCUCUGGAAAUCUGCAGGGUGGCCACGGAGGUAUUGCCACUGUUUACUGUGACAUCACUGACUGCCAAAAAAAAAAAAGCAUCAAUGACAUUUUCUAACGACACUGAGAGCUUGGGUUCUUAGAAAUAAGCUUCAUCUUAGAGAAAGAAAGUCCAACGACCACGCCUUCUUCAGGCCUCAGACCUCAUCCCUGAAUGAGCCUAGUGCCAGCAAUUACAGACUGUGCCAUCGGCCAGCGCGCAGGGUGAUAUGCCAGUCUGUGGGGGCUGUGCGGCAGACAGUUAUUCCCUGCUGGCUCUGGAGGCGGAGAGUUGGGGGUCAGGUGCCAGCGAGGUCGGCGUUGCCUGGAACCCUUCUCUUGGCCCCGCUGGCACCAUCUUGCUGUGUGCUCAGAGCCUGAGGAAGGAGGGGGACUCUGGUGUCCUUCAACAGGAGCACUAACCACCAUGAGAGCCUGCCCUCCAGGCGCCAUUCACCCUAGGAGCCUCCCUGAGGCACCAGCUCCAAAUACACUUCAGGGCUUCAACACGUGAUCACGGGGAACACGGAUGUUCAGGCAAUGGCAGAGAGACUUCUAAGCAAAGCAAACAUCCAGUCACGGAGGCACACCUGUGCUGGCUCCUCCUCCAUCUGCAAAGCCAAGGGUGCUGCUUUUCUGACAAGCCUUCUCUAGUCACCUCUCCCUCCGUCACCUCUGGCAAGGACUCCAACGUUUUAGGACUCGUGAUUCAGUGGGGUCUCACUGCAAUGUCCAGGACACUCUCCCCACCUCAAAUCUAACCUAACCACCUCUGCAAAGUAGCUUUUGCCGUGGGUGUCAUCUUUAAAGACCAGGGAGAGUGUAAAAACACCAUGUCCCGGAAUGUCCCUGCCUGUUCCCCCAAACCUGGGCAGAAGUUAAGGGAAGAGAGAGAGCCGGCCUGGGACACCAAGUCCACCACUACUGUCAGGAGGACAGUGGCUGUCUCCCAGGUAAGCUGGGAGCUGGGCAAGGGCGUCUUCUCUGUAGAAAGUUGCUUCUUGCUGCACACUGCAUGCAGGUCACACAAGGACAAAGCAAACAAAAGCUGUC
rnacentral:lncRNA from 1 species